AAAAGACGACAGCAAAAUGGUAAUUUUUGACACAUGUCAAACACACAUACAAUCUGCACAAAUCCUAGCUGGAAGAAUUUGAAAUUUUUUGCUUCUUUUGGCCAGCAAUUUGAAUUUCCUUUCCCUCCCAUUCACCUCAUUGCUUGCUGGGCCAAAAACAACAGUCCAGUCCAUUAAGGCCCAACCAAGCCUGGUCCGAUUUGUUUAGGUCAACAAAAAAAAAAAGCAAAUGCACAAAUGCAUACAACUUCCGGUCCUUUUCAUUGUGUCACGUUGCAGAAGUUCUCUACUCCUUUUGGCAAACAAUUUUGAAAUCAAAUUUGUUCAAAAGAAAAACAGAGAAGCAAGAAGAAGACCUUCCUUGAGCUGUCCCUUUCAGUAUUGCAGAUUUACAGACUAGAAUCCAAAAACCUCAAUUAGAUUUCAAUUCUUCUCUCAUCAGCUGUCUCUCAUCCUCUCUGAUAUCUUCACCACCAUCAACACCUUCGCCGCCGUCACUUUCAUCCCCCUCCAGUGGCUUCUUCAAAUGGAAAGGUUCACAAAUCAGGGUUUGAUUGGGUAAGUUUUCUGUACUUUGAAUUUUCAAUUUUUCCCUUCUGAGUUAGGUUUGAUUUCAGUUUUUGUGAAUAUUAUAAUCUGAUUUUAGUAGUAUUUAGUUGCUUCUUCAUUUCUCACAUAGUUUUUUUUUAUGUCCGAUUCGAGACUGCUACUCAUGAAUUUGAGGAAAAAGGUAUAUCAUUCAUCAAUAUUAGUUUUUUUUUGGUAGAGAGACAUCACGUCAGUAUUAGCUUUAAAUUGAUGAAAUUGGAGGUAGAUAUUCUCUCUCCCUAAUUUUCAUGAUUUGUUUUCUGGAAUUCUGUCUUUGAAAGUAGCAAUGUUUGUAGUUUUUUUUAUUAUAUUCAUGAUUCAUGGUUUUUGUAGUUACCAAAUAUGGGAGUAAUAUUCCUUCAUUUAAUGUUAUCUUUCUCCACCAAUAACUAUUGUUAUUGUUACACUUAUACAUGAAAUAGUGAAAAGGAUGGUCUGCAUCCUCCAAAAUCUGAAGGAUUUGAUAUUUUAUUGAUCACAAAUUAGAAAAUUUAAUGCUUAUUUGUUUAUCUGUUGGAUCAGUUUGUAUGAGCACACUUUUAUUUAAUUGUGAGAUGCUCUUUUGAAUAGUUUGGAUCAAGGAAUAUUUAAUUUUAAAUCAGUUUGAAUUAUUGGAGAAUAUCGGUUCCUAUUUCUUCUCAAGUUACCCAUAUUGAUAGCAACUUCUUUUUAAUAUAAUUUCAAAUUAUCAACUAAAAGAAAGAAAGGGAUAGAAGGGAUUGAGAAUAGCAUCUUUAAUGAGAUUUAAAAUUGAACCAAUGUAUGAACAACUUUUUAAUGAGAUUUCUUAGUUGUAAUCGCAAUUCUCAAUUGGUUGUUUUUCUGCUUCAUGUUUGUAGUUGAAAGUUUAAGGUAAAGUUAAUCUUCCUUGCAAUAUGUAUUCAGUUUCAGUCCAAUUCCAAAAACCAAUCUCUAAUUAUCUAUCAUUUAUGCAUAUUUUCUCCUUUUUUGAUGUCACAGGUAGAAUCUCACAGUGGAGUUACACCCAAAGUUGAUUAGUCUAAAGAGUGUAGACAAGGUGGUGUCGAAAAAUUCUUUGCAAAACAUAUUAUGCUGAAGUUAGAAUAAUGUUGGAUGUAAUUCACAAACUAAGAGCAUGGAAAUGAAUAGCAAGAACAAAUAUAUCAAGUGAAUGUGACCUUCAUGAUGAUAUGUGGUUAACAGGUAACAUGGGUGAACUUUCUAUCUUGAUACAAUGUUAAUGAUUAUCCUACAUUGUUAUAAGCUUCCAAUUUUAACUCAUUCACCCUUUUUAGAUGCUUAACCGCAAGUGAAAUACUUGCAGGUUUCAUAUUGCACAUAUUUUGCUUGAAGGUACAAAUAGGCAUUUGCACUUGGGUUUUCAAAUCUCAUGUUAUCUAUAAUCACUUGAGUAUGUACAAUUUAUUCUAUUUUUAUUAUCUUCAUAAGCAUAAUGAUUUAUGUCUAGAUUAGGUAAAUAUAUUAUUCCAUAAAGUAUCUAUGUCACAUGUUGAAAAAUGAAACUUUUUUCUAUCUGCCUCUUUCAUCUGUGACUCAAAAUGUUGGACUACAUGAAUGUCUACUGAAAUUAGACGUGCCUAAAAUACAUUGACCAAACUGACUUAUUUUUAAUUUUGUCAACAAAGAGCUUUUUAUCAUGGGUCUACUGACAUGACAAAACUUGCUUAUGAAUUUUAAUUUGGUAUUCAUGAUAUGGAAAAUAUUAAAGUUUCAGUUUACUAUUAAUUUGAAACGGAUAUGUGAUUUAUUGGAUAGAGAAGUUCAAUUUUAAGCCCUGAAUGUAAACAUACGUGUUUACUAUGUGUUGAUAUGUCUUUUCAUAUCAGCUAUUAAUAUCCAAAUUGGAGAGAAGGUGGCUGUUAAGGUGGUAUGUGAUGUUAUCAACUCUCAUUUGGCUCCUUCAUGAAUGUAAACAUACGUGCUAUUUUUUGACACCCUCAUUGUCUAAGAUUGCAGGUUUGAGUUCAAAGGAUGGUAACUAAGAAGAUGAUGGAGCAAAAUUAACAUGUUUCCUUUGAGCACGUGUAUUAUUGUUUGUGCCGCACAAGAAGUCAACAUAAAUCCUCUUUUAUUGGAGAAGUUUAUCCAUUCUUGUGAUAGGGAUAUUCGUAAAAGCCAUUAUGCAUCUUUAGUUCUGGUUCCAGAAUAAAAAACAUAGCAAAGACAAGAAAGUGCAGAUAGUAUAUGGCUCACUACCUUUUGAUCUUGAGGCUGGUCAUAAGAUACUACCAAAUAUAAUUCCCUGGAGUUUUCCCUCAGAGUUAUCCACACUAAUCAAGAAGGAAGUUGCCAAGUCAAUGACCAUAAUAGAAAACAACUCAAACCGGGAAGGGUUAGCUAAUGAAGAGCUUUGCAUAGAAACUGAUUAUUUAGCUAUUCUUGACAGCACUUAUGUUGUUUGGCUACUUUGUUCUCAAUUUAGUUAUGUAAACAUCUUGGUGCUAAUCCGUUGAGGUGUACAAUUUUAUUUUUUUAAUUUUUAGUGCAACUUAUACAGUGGAAUAGUUGACUAGAAAAUAUUCUAUAUAAGUAUAUUUUAAGGUUGUUUUAAGUCUUUUCCUAAAA